rnacentral:rRNA from 1 species
CUUCCUACGGGGGGCAGCAGUGAGGAAUAUUGGUCAAUGGACGGAAGUCUGAACCAGCCAUGCCGCGUGCAGGAAGACGGCUCUAUGAGUUGUAAACUGCUUUUGUACAAGGGUAAACCUGAAUACGUGUAUUCAGCUGAAAGUACUGUACGAAUAAGGAUCGGCUAACUCCGUGCCAGCAGCCGCGGUAAUACGGAGGAUGCGAGCGUUAUCCGGAUUUAUUGGGUUUAAAGGGUGCGUAGGCGGUCCGUAAAGUCAGCGGUAAAAGACCGGGGCUCAACCCCGCCGAGCCGUUGUA